GGAUGUAAGGCUAAUCUGACUAUGAUAUCUGUCAUCUUGCUGACAGCCAGAACUGAUCGCUGAUCUGACUAAGUGGAUCUCCUCUUCCACCCUCACCACUCCCAUGUGCAUCCCAUCCCUCCCGAAGCUUCAAGCUCAGUCACAGUGGACAACAUUCUCUGAUAGAGGAAGACCACUCUUCAGUCAGGGAACACAAGUAGUUGCAUUCCUCUGUUAGAACCUCCAAACAAGCACUCAAUAUCCAGGGCAGCAUUAUUUACAAUAGCCAAAAUGUGGAAGUGACCCAAGUGU
rnacentral:snRNA from 1 species